AAACGCCUUCGAGAUCAAUAUUGAUCAGGGGAGACGCCUGGCCCUGCAGAAUGAGAUCGACCAGAAGUCCAAUCCAGUCCAACUCAAAGCAGCACCGGUACCAUCGGGUUUGGGCCAGUGGGGCACUGCCCAGUUUGACAGUUCCGACCAACAUAGUAAGUUCCUGCGGUUGAUGGGCGGCUUAAAGAAGAGCUGGCAGCCAAUAGCAGCGAGCGGUGCGACGGGAGGGCGGGCCAACAUGGCGCUGACUAAAGACGGACAGCAGAGUUUGCAGCAAGGCCUACUGGGGGAGUUUGAGCGUGCUCAGUCGCGCCGCAUGGACUUCACGGAAGGGGGGCGGGACUUGGGUUCUCGGCGCCGUCCAAUAAGAAGUUCUCAAUUGACAUCAACACAACCCGAUCGGUGCGCUUCGAUGACUGAGUCGGGACGGACCCUUGAGUGCGUGUCUAGCAUCCAAAAUGGAUUG